rnacentral:lncRNA from 1 species
CAUGCAUACAAGUUCCUAGGGGUCUCAAACAAACAUAUACCCCAUCUACAACACUUCAAACAUACUCAAACAACACGCAUUGUUCAAAACAUCAAUAUAUAUACCCAUAACUCAACAUAUACCCUAGCAUGCAUUUCUACCCUUAGAUCUUGCAUAAAACUUAUUUAGAACACAUAAUAAGGGUGGAUCCGAGCUUACCUCUUGAAGAAAUGAGAGGGAAGACGAUCCUAGCUUGGAGAUGAAGAGAUUGAGCUCCUUGAACCUCCAAGCACCCAAAACUUGCUCUUUGCUCACAAAUCUUCAAAAUAGAAGUUAAAACUCGUGAAAACCAUGAAAGAUCUAGGGAAAACACUCAAGAUUGAGGGAGGAGCGGCGGAGACUCACCUUGGCCGACAAUGGGAGAGAAAAGCUCGCCCGUGCGGACCAAAGGGACCCUUUUAUAUGUGGCUGGCCAGGCC